rnacentral:piRNA from 1 species
UGCAUUAUCAGAUGGACUUGUGACUCAUG